rnacentral:rRNA from 1 species
AUGGAUGAAGAGGCCUACUGGCAUAUGCGUGGUACCCAGCGGUGGGUACUUCGGGGAGAUGCCAACACCGCCUAUUUCCAAGCGGUGGCGAACGGCCGCCGGCGCCGAAACUCCAUCCAUUGCCUCUGGGAUAGAGAUACCCCUCUCGUUCACCCCUCGGCCAUCUGUACCCAUGUAGAUGGCUUUUACAAGGCCCUAUUUACCCCCACCCCUCGGGGUGGGGCUAGUCUCGCCCCAGACAUUUGGUCGGGUGCCCACUUGGUUUCUGAUGCGGCCAAUGCUGCUCUGGUGGCCCCCUUCACCAAGGAUGAGGUUCUCGCGGCUAUCAAAGGGAUGAACCCCUCCUCGCCCCCGGGUCCGGAUGGCCUGCCAGUUACGUUUUUUAAGACGUUCUAGCCGACCAUCAAGCCGGAGGUCAUGGCCCUGUUCGAAGAAUUCUUCUCUGGCACCAUGGAUCUUGGGCGCCUGAACUAUGGCAUCGUGACCCUUAUCCCCAAGGUCCCAGGCGCCUCCGACAUCCGCCAAUUUCGUCCAAUCACCGUG